CGCAUGAAAAUCUUGCCACAGAUUAGGGACUUACUCACCUUCCCUUUAAGGAAGGUGUAGUUUUCAAAAAAAAAAAGUUACAAUCCUGGGAGCGCGUUGUGUAUGAUCACCACGCAGUCAAAAAAAAAAAAAAAAAAGGGGGGGGGAUCCCAUGGAUGUCAGUAACAUAACCAAACCCAUUUUCCUCCCUUCUCCUUUGGCAGGCAAUUACUAGUAGAAAGGAAUUGCAUUGUUAGUAGACAGGGACGAAUUUAACCCCGAGCUGGUAGUAAGCUCUGCCAGCACACACAUAGCAGCC
rnacentral:sRNA from 1 species